rnacentral:rRNA from 1 species
UUAAGCGACUAAGCGUACACGGUGGAUGCCCUGGCAGUCAGAGGCGAUGAAGGACGUGCUAAUCUGCGAAAAGCGUCGGUAAGGUGAUAUGAACCGUUACAGCCGGCGAUGUCCGAAUGGGGAAACCCAGUGUGAUUCGUCACACUAUCGUUAACUGAAUACAUAGGUUAACGAGGCGAACCGGGGGAACUGAAACAUCUAAGUACCCCGAGGAAAAGAAAUCAACCGAGAUUCCCCCAGUAGCGGCGAGCGAACGGGGAGCAGCCCAGAGUCUGAAUCAGCUUGUGUGUUAGUGGAACGGUCUGGAAAGUCCGACGGUACAGGGUGAUAGUCCCGUACACCAAAAUGCACAGGCUGUGAACUCGAAGAGUAGGGCGGGACACGUGGUAUCCUGUCUGAAUAUGGGGGGACCAUCCUCCAAGGCUAAAUACUCCUGACUGACCGAUAGUGAACCAGUACCGUGAGGGAAAGGCGAAAAGAACCCCGGCGAGGGGAGUGAAAAAGAACCUGAAACCGUGUACGUACAAGCAGUGGGAGCACCUUCGGGUGUGACUGCGUACCUUUUGUAUAAUGGGUCAGCGACUUAUAUUCUGUAGCAAGGUUAACCGUAUAGGGGAGCCGCAGGGAAACCGAGUCUUAACUGGGCGUUAAGUUGCAGGGUAUAGACCCGAAACCCGGUGAUCUAGCCAUGGGCAGGUUGAAGGUUGGGUAACACUAACUGGAGGACCGAACCGACUAAUGUUGAAAAAUUAGCGGAUGACUUGUGGCUGGGGGUGAAAGGCCAAUCAAACCGGGAGAUAGCUGGUUCUCCCCGAAAGCUAUUUAGGUAGCGCCUCGUGAAUUCAUCUUCGGGGGUAGAGCACUGUUUCGGCUAGGGGGUCAUCCCGACUUACCAACCCGAUGCAAACUACGAAUACCGAAGAAUGUUAUCACGGGAGACACACGGCGGGUGCUAACGUCCGUCGUGAAGAGGGAAACAACCCAGACCGCCAGCUAAGGUCCCAAAGUCAUGGUUAAGUGGGAAACGAUGUGGGAAGGCACAGACAGCCAGGAUGUUGGCUUAGAAGCAGCCAUCAUUUAAAGAAAGCGUAAUAGCUCACUGGUCGAGUCGGCCUGCGCGGAAGAUGUAACGGGGCUAAACCAUGCACCGAAGCUGCGGCAGCGACACUAUGUGUUGUUGGGUAGGGGAGCGUUCUGUAAGCCUGCGAAGGUGACCUGUGAGGGUUGCUGGAGGUAUCAGAAGUGCGAAUGCUGACAUAAGUAACGAUAAAGCGGGUGAAAAGCCCGCUCGCCGGAAGACCAAGGGUUCCUGUCCAACGUUAAUCGGGGCAGGGUGAGUCGACCCCUAAGGCGAGGCCGAAAGGCGUAGUCGAUGGGAAACAGGUUAAUAUUCCUGUACUUGGUGUUACUGCGAAGGGGGGACGGAGAAGGCUAUGUUAGCCGGGCGACGGUUGUCCCGGUUUAAGCAUGUAGGCUGGUUGUCCAGGCAAAUCCGGAUAAUCAAGGCUGAGGUGUGAUGACGAGGCACUACGGUGCUGAAGUAACAAAUGCCCUGCUUCCAGGAAAAGCCUCUAAGCAUCAGGUAACAUUAAAUCGUACCCCAAACCGACACAGGUGGUCAGGUAGAGAAUACCAAGGCGCUUGAGAGAACUCGGGUGAAGGAACUAGGCAAAAUGGUGCCGUAACUUCGGGAGAAGGCACGCUGGUGUGUAGGUGAAGUCCCUGCGGAUGGAGCUGAGACCAGUCGAAGAUACCAGCUGGCUGCAACUGUUUAUUAAAAACACAGCACUGUGCAAACACGAAAGUGGACGUAUACGGUGUGACGCCUGCCCGGUGCCGGAAGGUUAAUUGAUGGGGUUAUCCGUAAGGAGAAGCUCUUGAUCGAAGCCCCGGUAAACGGCGGCCGUAACUAUAACGGUCCUAAGGUAGCGAAAUUCCUUGUCGGGUAAGUUCCGACCUGC